rnacentral:misc_RNA from 1 species
GCCAAAUGAUCCCUAUUGCCAAAAAAGUGUUUGUAAUCAGAAUAAAAUUCUGAAGCAUGGACUUGGAAGAUACUAGACAAAUUUCCAGUACCACAAAUCCGUAAUGGGUUAAUGUUAACAUGAACCUUCAAAGUAACUCUGCAUCUCUUUGGACAAUUUUGUUAGAAAACCAAUGUUAGGAAUAUUCCUUCAAGCAAUGUGUCUCUAUACUCAGCUUGUGAUAUAUAUAGUCACUCAACUACCAAAAGCCUAAAAACAGUAAAUUUGUAUGCCUAUAUCCGCAUUGUGACUCUUUCUUAAAAAAUUAAAUUCUAAGAAGGGUUAAAAGGAAGAAAAUGAACUUAAGAAACAAAAUUUAAUUCAGUUGUUACACAUUAUCUUUUG